ACCAAUCUUUUAUAAAGUAUAACAUUAAAAGUACAACGAAAAUAAAAUUUUCAUAUCAAACUAAACAUCAUGAAAAUCGUUUUCUGUUUCUCCAUCCUCUUACUUGUUCUUUCCGUUAGUUUUGGAAAUAACCAAUUGCAAGUAGUAACACCACCAACCAAAUUUUGUCUUGCACCAGUAGGCACUAGUUAUUGUCUUCCACCUUCAAAACCAGAUGCAUGCAAUGAAAGGUGCACAUUUUUUCUUGGUAAACCAGGGGUCAA